rnacentral:tmRNA from 1 species
GGGCUUGUACUGGUUUCGACGGGGGUUUUGAAGUCGAGGAAGCCAUCCGCGGUUCCGGACCGCGUUAAAACCGGAAAAACCUAAAUUUAACUGACAACAACAGAGUUGCAGUAGCGGCUUAAUCCGCUCGUCGGCCUGAGAUUACCCGUGCUCUCAGAUCACCGGCGUCAUAAUCACGGGAAACGACACAGACAAAGCUUUGAGUCUGCGGGCGUAAUAUGAAGCUACCAAGGCACUGAGGCCGCUGCCGGCCGCCCUGCCGAGGGAAUGUAAAGCGGCAGCUGUGAUGGGAGAUGCCUUGAGGGAUAGGCUUUCGGACGCGGGUUCGAUUCCCGCCAGGUCCAC